UACGGAGGGGGCGAGCGUUAUUCGGAAUUAUUGGGCGUAAAGGGCGCGUAGGCGGCUUGAUGUGUCAAAGGUGAAAUCCCUCGGCUCAACGGAGGAACUGCCUUUGAAACUGUCUGGCUUGAGGCCGGGAGAGGGUAGCGGAAUUCCCAGUGUAGCGGUGAAAUGCGUAGAUACUGGGAGGAACACCGGUGGCGAAGGCGGCUACCUGGACCGGUUCUGACGCUGAUGCGCGAAAGCGUGGGUAGCAAACAGG
rnacentral:rRNA from 1 species